rnacentral:rRNA from 1 species
UACGAAGGGGGCUAGCGUUGUUCGGAAUUACUGGGCGUAAAGCGCGCGCAGGCGGUCUUCCAAGUCAGUGGUGAAAGCCCGGAGCUCAACUCCGGAACUGCCAUUGAAACUGUGAGACUUGAGGAUGAGGGAGGUGAGUGGAAUUCCCAGUGUAGAGGUGAAAUUCGUAGAUAUUGGGAAGAACACCGGUGGCGAAGGCGGCUACACUGGCUCAUUCUGACGCUCAGGCGCGACAGCGUGGGAUCGAACAAGG